rnacentral:rRNA from 1 species
CCUACGGGGGGCAGCAGUGGGGGAUAUUGCACAAUGGGGGAAACGCUGAUGCAGCGACGCCGCGUGGGGGAAGGAGGGCUUCGGAGUGUAAAGCCCUUUCUGCAGGGAAGAAACAAGACGGUACCUGACUAAUAAGCCCCGGCUAACUACGUGCCAGCAGCCGCGGUACUACGGAGGGGGCGAGCGUUAUCCGGAUUCACUGGGUGUAAAGGGAGCGUAGAGGGUUAGGCAAGCCAGGGGUGAAAUCCCGGGGCCCAAACCCGGGACUGCCAUUGAAACUGCAUGCCGUGAGUGCGGGAGAGGCAGGCGGAAUGCCUGGUGUAGCGGUGAAAUGCGUAGAUAUCAGGAGGAACACCGGUGGCGAAGGCGGCCUGCUGGACCGCGACUGACGUUGAGGCUCGAAAGCGUGGGGAGCGAACAGGAUUAGAUACCCGAGUAGUC